rnacentral:rRNA from 1 species
GUCUAUGCUCAUACUACCCUGAACUUGCCCUCUCUAGGAGGUUGGGAACUGAGCAGGGCUGGGCCAGGUUAGCACUUGGAUAGGAGAUCCACAACAGAUGGGGCAGUGCUGAUG